rnacentral:lncRNA from 1 species
UUUAGGCAGUUGCUUAAAUACACACGAUCUAAUUGCAACAAAAACCGAGUGUCUUCAAGAUUUAACGGUUAUGGUUACUCUUCUUCAGGUAACUAAAAUUGAUAUAAGAGGAUGGCAAACACCAUCUAAUUGAAACUAAGUGAUUGUAAUUAGAGUUUAACCGACAUCGAUCUUCACUUCUUGAGGCAGCAUAGAAGAUGAAAAUUGAUACAAGAAAAUCGCAAAAUUAUUUCAAUAAUCCCGAUCAUGAGCGAGAAAAUGACCUCCCGCAUGCAGGCAACCUAUGCCCAGAUUGUUAUGCUAUUACGGCGGAUGAUUUAGUUGUUGAGUUGUUGUGUGGGUGGUCGAAUUGAAAUUGGUUUUUGAUGAUCUGAUACCCGGGUAGCAAGUGCUUCUCCAAAUAAUGGGUAUGUUUUUUUUAGCUUAACUAAUUUUGUGGGUUUAGACUUCAGUUGAAGAUUUAAUGAAUUUGUACAAUAUUUUAAUUAUAUUUGUGGGUUUAAUUUGAACGGGAAUCUACUGAUUUAACGACUUUCCACAUUUCAAUUUAGAAAAACGCCACUUUCAAUUUUUUUUUCUUUUUGGUUAUAAUGUUAAUAAACUUUUAAGUUGUAAACUCUGAAGCACCUAUUUACCUCAACCAAAUCGGCGGUGGUGGUGAAUUGGUAGUGAAUGAAACCGCGGUAUCUACAAAAUUCUAAACUUUAAAACACUAAACUUGCCAUUAAUCAAUGGUUGUCGGUGUGCUUGGCAUGAAUUUGGUUCAUAUGGCCGGUGUUGGUCAUGAAUUUGGUGAUUGUUGGCUAUGAUUCAUGCAUCUCCAUGAUGCCGGCAAGGCAAUUGCCCAUAAUUUCAAGUCCAGGCGAUGGUAACAAGACCAAAAUACUUGCCAUUAUGAAAGUGACUGCGGCCUGCGAACGUGGACGGCAAUUGGCAAGGAAAUGACAGUGUCGGCAGCCAGCAAUUAUAAAUCUUACCAAAGGCCGAUUUUUUCGUUCUCUUUAUAUUUGAAGUUUUUUUUUAUGAUUUGUUGAUGGGUUUUUUUGACAAUGGUAGAUUAUUAGGUCCGUAAUAAGACUGCAAAUUAGCAGUUAUAGACAUAAAAAUUAUUGUAUAAAUUCAUGACACACUAGGUGUUGGAUAAAUUUGAAUGAAGUUAAAAAUUAUUUAAGUUAAUAUUUGAAUUUGAAUAUCAACUAUUUGUAGAUAUUUAAUAAGAAGUGUUGUAAUUAAUUACAAAUAAAACUAAUAAGAAAAUUUCGUGUAUUACACACACAACUGGGUAG